CUAAUACAUAGCACACAAGUCCUGUGUGAGGUCUGUGUGCUCGGCUGGGAAUUCAGAAGGGGACACCCUCAAUUGUGUGCUGUGAGGUGUUCAUCCUGGAGCUGGUGGCUCAUGCUUUCUGUCCCUGGAGGCCAGGGCAGGCAUUGUGGUCAUGUGCCAUCCCUCCCUGAAUCCUGGGAAGCAGCAACAGGAAGAAAAAGAAAACAGUUUUCCACUGAGUUAGCAAUAUGAAUCAGCUCAGGAAGGAUUUAACGUGCACUGAGGGAGUGGGAACUGGCAAACAAAAGCAGGAGCAAGAAAAGGAAGGAGGAGAAAGAAAGUGGACAGAGGAUGCUGACACUCACUUAACUGGACAGCUGCUUGAUAAUCCUGAAAUCAGCAACAGAAAAUUCUCAACCAGAGACCUGAGUCUGCUGACAUGGUUGCUAUUGGCUGGGUAGAAGAAAAGCUGAGUUAAGGUGCAU